rnacentral:lncRNA from 1 species
GAUAGUUAUGUAAAGCAUUCACCCAAUCUGGCCUCCAUCCCUUUCUCUCAUGGUUGUGCCUGCCUCUCUGUUUUGUCCCCUUCUCCCAGGAGGACACAACAGAGCAAUGGUUUUCAGUUCCCAGACGCCGCUGUGGCCCAUCCAUCCCGGCCCAUUUCCAAGGGCAGGGCAUGGAUAAUGGUAUUCACCUGUUUUUUCCUACGUGUUUUUGAUGCACAGAGAACCUCUGGCUCAGGCCUGUCACUACCAAUAACUGGCUGCAAUCUCCAUGACCCCCCGGCAGCCUUUGAUCACCCCCUCCUACCUCGGAUCAAUCCCUUCAGCGAUCUCGCUCAGACAAUUCUUCACCGUCAUUAGAGCCUUCCAUCCCUGUGAACGUUCACUAUUCACUCCUCCUUCCUGUUGUGCUCUCAAGUCCCUCCUUAUCCAACUUAGAUUUUUAUGCUUCCUCAACCCCCUUGCUGAAUUUCUUCCUCACGGUUUUUACUGUAACAUCCCCCAGAGGGAUGAACGCAGUUCACUUCCGGUGUGCCUGCCUCUGACGUUGACCUGGGGCAGAUAAAAAUCCACAUCCUUUGCCGCGGGUCUGCGUUUAAACAAUAAUUACCCAAACGUCAAGUUUAUUUGCAUAGGAACUGCACUUGAAGGUAAGACUGGCGAGAAAAAAAAAAAGAAAGAGAAGUAUGGGUAUUAAAUAUAUAUAUAUAUACACAUACAUACAUAUUACUAGGUUAAAAGAGAGGAAAAAACUCAACAGAACGACAAGGAGGCCAGAGCUUAGAAGGGUGAUAUUUAAAUGUCCUAGAAGGAAGUUUCAAAAUGGAAGAAUGGGCAACAUGACCAAAUUCUGAAAACAAGAGAGAAAUGGAAACCCAUGUUCACACGAAAACUUGUACAUGAACUCUACCCGUUUCUCUGCUCAUAACUGCCAAAAAGGAGACAACUAAAUGCCCUCGAAUGAGCAAAUGCUCACGCACAGCGAGAUUACUGUGCCACGAGCACGACCGAACCCUGACAGGGCCAAGCUCUGGAUACGUGCAGCGCUGUGGGCGACUCCCAAGGCCUUCACACUGAGCACGAGAGGCACGUCUUGAAGGUCUCCUCCGGGAUGGUCCCCUCUACGUGACAUCCUCAGUAAGGCAACCGCAGUGCUGGACAACCGACCAGUGGGUGCCAGGCGCUGGGGGCAGAGCAGGGGCCGCCUGGCAGGGAUUUGGGGUGAGGAAGAGCUCUGGAUCCUGGUGUUAGUGGUCGUCACACUAAUUUACACAUGUGCCGAAUUCAACAUUAAAAAAACAAAAAGUGGGAGUUCCUGUCGUGGCACAGUGGUUAACGAAUCCGACUAGGAACCAUGAGGUUGCGGGUUCGAUCCCUGCCCUUGCUCAGUGGGUUAAGGAUCCAGCGUUGCUGUGAGCUGUGGUGUAGGUUGCAGACACGGCUUGGAUCCCACGUUGCUGUGGCUCUGGCGUAUGCUGGUGGCUACAGCUCCGAUUCNNNNNNNNNNNNNNNNNNNNNNNNNNNNNNNNNNNNNNNNNNNNNNNNNAGGAUGAAUCGUACGUUUGAGUCCUAUGAAAAUCAGUUCUUAUUCUACAGUAUUCUGAAGCUCUUCCUAUUUUACGUCCUGUCUUUUUCAGAAGGCUUUCUUCUUAAGAUGCUAUUUCUCAAAAUCAGAUUUAUUCCUGAAAGAGUCCCUCUUCUCAUUACCAAUCUCAUCUUAGCUGGCAAACUUUUUGGCUUUUCCUUUGGGAUGAAGAAGAG